rnacentral:tRNA from 1 species
GAGGUUGUGGCUCAGUGGUAGAGCGCUUGCCUAGCAUGUGUGGGGCCCUGGGUUCAAUCCUCAGCACCACA